AUGAACGCUAGCUACAGGCUUAACACAUGCAAGUCGAGGGGCAUCAGGAAGAAAGCUUGCUUUCUUUGCUGGCGACCGGCGCACGGGUGAGUAACACGUAUCCAACCUGCCCUUUACUCGGGGAUAGCCUUUCGAAAGAAAGAUUAAUACCCGAUGGCAUAAUGAUUCCGCAUGGUUUCAUUAUUAAAGGAUUCCGGUAAAGGAUGGGGAUGCGUUCCAUUAGGUUGUUGGUGAGGUAACGGCUCACCAAGCCUUCGAUGGAUAGGGGUUCUGAGAGGAAGGUCCCCCACAUUGGAACUGAGACACGGUCCAAACUCCUACGGGAGGCAGCAGUGAGGAAUAUUGGUCAAUGGGCGCUAGCCUGAACCAGCCAAGUAGCGUGAAGGAUGAAGGCUCUAUGGGUCGUAAACUUCUUUUAUAUAAGAAUAAAGUGCAGUAUGUAUACUGUUUUGUAUGUAUUAUAUGAAUAAGGAUCGGCUAACUCCGUGCCAGCAGCCGCGGUAAUACGGAGGAUCCGAGCGUUAUCCGGAUUUAUUGGGUUUAAAGGGAGCGUAGGUGGACUGGUAAGUCAGUUGUGAAAGUUUGCGGCUCAACCGUAAAAUUGCAGUUGAUACUGUCAGUCUUGAGUACAGUAGAGGUGGGCGGAAUUCGUGGUGUAGCGGUGAAAUGCUUAGAUAUCACGAAGAACUCCGAUUGCGAAGGCAGCUCACUGGACUGCAACUGACACUGAUGCUCGAAAGUGUGGGUAUCAAACAGGAUUAGAUACCCUGGUAGUCCACACGGUAAACGAUGAAUACUCGCUGUUUGCGAUAUACAGUAAGCGGCCAAGCGAAAGCAUUAAGUAUUCCACCUGGGGAGUACGCCGGCAACGGUGAAACUCAAAGGAAUUGACGGGGGCCCGCACAAGCGGAGGAACAUGUGGUUUAAUUCGAUGAUACGCGAGGAACCUUACCCGGGCUUAAAUUGCAGUGGAAUGAUGUGGAAACAUGUCAGUGAGCAAUCACCGCUGUGAAGGUGCUGCAUGGUUGUCGUCAGCUCGUGCCGUGAGGUGUCGGCUUAAGUGCCAUAACGAGCGCAACCCUUAUCUUUAGUUACUAACAGGUCAUGCUGAGGACUCUGGAGAGACUGCCGUCGUAAGAUGUGAGGAAGGUGGGGAUGACGUCAAAUCAGCACGGCCCUUACGUCCGGGGCUACACACGUGUUACAAUGGGGGGUACAGAAGGCAGCUAGCGGGUGACCGUAUGCUAAUCCCAAAAUCCUCUCUCAGUUCGGAUCGAAGUCUGCAACCCGACUUCGUGAAGCUGGAUUCGCUAGUAAUCGCGCAUCAGCCACGGCGCGGUGAAUACGUUCCCGGGCCUUGUACACACCGCCCGUCAAGCCAUGGGAGCCGGGGGUACCUGAAGUACGUAACCGCAAGGAUCGUCCUAGGGUAAAACUGGUGACUGGGGCU
rnacentral:rRNA from 1 species